rnacentral:tRNA from 1 species
CGGGAUGUAGCGCAGCCUGGUUUAGCGCGCCUGCUUCGGGAGUAGGAGGUCGGGGGUUCGAAUCCCCCCAUCCCGACCA